GAAUUCGCCCUUAGAGUUUGAUCCUGGCUCAGGAUGAACGCUGGCGGCACGCCUAACACAUGCAAGUCGAACGAACGAUAAGACUUCGGUCUUAGAGUUAGUGGCGGACGGGUGAGUAACACGUGAGCAACCUGCCUUUAAGAGUGGAAUAACAUUUGGAAACGAAUGGUAAUACCGCAUAAUAUAAUUUUACCGCAUGGUGAGAUUAUCAAAGAUUUAUCGCUUAGAGAUGGCCUCGCGUCCGAUUAGAUAGUUGGUGGGGUAACGGCUCACCAAGUCAGCGAUCGGUAGCCGGACUGAGAGGUUGAACGGCCACAUUGGGACUGAGACACGGCCCAGACUCCUACGGGAGGCAGCAGUGGGGGAUAUUAGGCAAUGGGGGAAACCCUGACCUAGCGACGCCGCGUGAGGGAAGAAGGUCUUCGGAUUGUAAACCUCUGUCUUCGGGGACGAUAAUGACGGUACCCGAGGAGGAAGCCCCGGCUAACUACGUGCCAGCAGCCGCGGUAAUACGUAGGGGGCAAGCGUUAUCCGGAUUUAUUGGGUGUAAAGGGUGCGUAGGCGGGAAGGCAAGUUGAAUGUGAAAUACCGGGGCUCAACUCCGGGGCUGCGUUCAAAACUGCUUUUCUUGAGUGCAGCAGAGGCAAGCGGAAUUCCCAGUGUAGCGGUAAUAUGCGUAGAUAUUGGGAGGAACACCGGUGGCGAAGGCGGCUUGCUGGGCUGUAACUGACGCUGAGGCACGAAAGUGUGGGGAGCAAACAGAAUUAGAUACCCUGGUAGUCCACACUGUAAACGAUGAU
rnacentral:rRNA from 1 species